UCCCCGGAGGACUAGUGGUAAGGCCACGGCGCGCUCACUGCUCCGCCCUGGGUUCGAUUCCCAGCCAGGGAA